UAAUUAUUGUAUUAUUGUUCAUGUUGGUGGUGCUUGCUUUGGUGUUGGCAUAUUUGAAACAAAACAUUAUAAAUAAAAAACAAUUACUUUCUGAAACAUUUCAUAUUUAUUAGUGUGUAGUAAAAUGGCUUGCAUUUCUCAAUCUGAUUAUUCUAAUAAAAAUCUAAUAAAAACACAGGGAAAAAAAUGAAGAAUGAAAUGAAAUGAAAAUGAAAAAAACUAAUUAUGUUAUCAACAUAAAAUGAGUGACUGGAGACCAUCACUAAAUAAAUGAAAAACAAUAUAUAUUUUUGGGAGGGCAAUGAAGUGCCUUGACUAUCUUUUGUUUCUUGUUAUAGCCUAUUCAAAAAUAUACAACAUCCCUAAAGAAUAUACAUUGAAAUGAUAUUUCUUUAAACUUAAUGGCGAAAUAAUACUUUGGCGUUCCAGGGCAGGUAUAUUUGUCUUAAUAUUUGUCUCAACAUUUUUCUCGAUCGGUCGUGCAAUUGGAUCACAUUUUGUACAAUUAUCCUUGCAUUAGGUAAAUAAAAUUAGAAGUCUAAUUUUCAUUCAGACAACGCCUCCACGUUUGCCUUAUAUUGCCUUUUUAUUUUGAGAUAACUUUAGAAUUUCUGAGUUUUCCAUAUCAAUUUUACGCGCAACAAAAUCUUAGCAGUGCACCACCAGACGGCAGUAUCCUCGAUUUAAGAACCUCUAUUUCAAAUUGUUUACCUCCUAAAAUAUUGUGUUGUUUUAUAUUGUUUCAGUCAAAGAAUAACUAAAUAUGAAGUGAAUUGUAUGUGUUGAUUAUCUUUGGCUGAAAAGAUGUAAUUGAAUGCAAUGUGAAAUGAGGGUCUCAUUUGACGUUUUUAAGCCUAUUUUAGACAACAAAGUGAUACAUUCAUUUCGACCGUUUUUUUUCCUUUAACAGUUUUAUAAUCACAUAUAUCCAGCAACAUAGCUGACAAGUGGUUGGCUACCCUAGACGUUUUUUUACACACAAAGAUUUGGCAAGACGUCACGAGGGAGCAUAGCAGCUAUUACAGUUAUUAUAAAGAAUUAGAUCGUAUCUUGUAAUGUCAUCUAAAUGGAUAAAAUCUACCAUUUGUCCUCUUGUUCAUUUAUUGCAACCAUUGAAGAGGCUCAAACUGCUACCUCAGUAUUUACUCUACUUUAGAGGGGGCGGUGCUGACCCUUCGCGCACUCCGCCUACUAGUUCUUUCCUCGCUGUCUACGUCACUCCACCGAACUCCAUGCAAAUCGCUCCUCGCUGGAACGCCAUUGGCCGCUCGCUCAUUUUAAUCGCUGUCAAAACGCAUCAUAUGGCCGCCGCUUUAACUAACUCUUCAACUCCACUAGGAAAAGUAACUCAAAUGCACGUUCAAUUAAUGUGGAUGUGAAACGGCAGUCGGAGGCGACACUAAACAGGCUACAGGAGCAAAAAGAGACCCUGAAACUAACAGCCAACGGUUGGGAAUAAGCUGAAUUCCACAUUUCACCGGAGCUCCACUGGCUCGUGAAGCACCUGCUUCAAGCGGACUACAGAGCGCCGAAAGUUCAUGCUUUUUCUCUGCUAGCUGAGAACUUUUAAGCCACUUGAAUGUAUAGCAUGAUGAUGGAGACGGACCUUCAUUCCCCUGGACCCCAAACCAACACGAAUCCGGGGCAAACGGGUCCAAAUUCGGGGAGCAAAGCCAACCAAGACCGCGUAAAAAGACCCAUGAACGCUUUUAUGGUCUGGUCCCGGGGCCAGCGCCGAAAAAUGGCUCAGGAGAACCCCAAAAUGCACAACUCUGAAAUUAGCAAAAGACUCGGUGCUGAGUGGAAAGUGAUGUCAGAGGCUGAAAAGCGGCCCUUUAUUGAUGAGGCGAAGCGGUUGCGAGCCAUGCACAUGAAAGAGCAUCCGGAUUACAAAUACAGACCGAGGCGCAAAACCAAGACCCUGCUUAAAAAGGACAAGUACUCGUUGGCUGGCGGCUUGCUCGGCGGUGCGGGUGGCGGGGUCGGAAUGAGUCCUGGAGGGGUCGGCCAGAGGUUGGAGAGUCCUGGGGGUCACGGAGGCUCGGCCAGCGCUGGCUACGCGCACAUGAACGGCUGGGCGAACGGCACUUACUCCGGCCAGGUGGCCGCCGCGGCGGCAGCGGCUGCGAUGAUGCAGGAGGCUCAGCUCGCUUACAGCCAGCACCCAGGUAGUGGGUCUCACCAUCACCACGCUCAUCACCAUCACCCGCACAACCCUCAGCCCAUGCACCGCUACGAUAUGACUGCUCUUCAGUACAGCCCCAUCUCGAACUCCCAGAGCUACAUGAGCGCUUCUCCGUCCGGCUACGGUGGGAUAACAUACACGCAGCAUCAAAAUUCCAGCGUCGCCACUUCUGCGGCCAUCGGCACGCUGAGCUCGCUCGUCAAGUCCGAACCCAAUAUAAGCCCUCCGGUUACCACACACUCCCGAGGCCCCUGCCCCGGAGACUUGAGAGAGAUGAUAAGCAUGUAUUUACCGACCGGGGAAUCCGGGGAUCCGUCUGUGCAGAGCAGACUGCAUGCCUUACCGCAGCACUAUCAGAGCACAACUGCCGGAGUAAACGGAACUGUCCCAUUGACGCAUAUUUGAAACAGCUGAUGGAAAGUGAUGGGUAACACUCCACCAAAAAUAUUUACCUCUUUUUUUAGAUUGUCAUUAAACUACUUUUGUACAGAAUGUUUUAUGAUGUUCUUGUAAAUUAAAGGUAAAUAUUGUUUCGAUUGCAGUUCGGAGAGAAACUGAGAUCUAAUGAAAUGGAUCACUUUCAGUGAAACAUUGUUGAAAUAUGACGUCUUUAAAAAGGAUUCUGACAGCGUUUCUGGCCACGCCAAGAAAUAUGCGACACACUGUUAUUCUUUAAAUAUUUAAGUUUCUGUGCAAAUUGACUUUUGAGUUGAUAAUAACAAAAGUCUAGCGUGAAUAACACAAUGAAAUGUUUUUGAGAGCCCAUAAAGAGUUUCCUGCUUAUUACAUUUACCAAAACGUUUGUAUACGUGAAUUAAUGUACCAGAUUUAUGUUGUAAUAUUUCUUGUAAAUUGUGAAUAAGUUUUAAUAUUUCAAAAGACUGGCACGUCACUGCUGCUGUACAUAAUUUAUGACAUGCAUUCCUGCCAGUUCAAAUCUUAACCUUGCGUUGAUUCAUGGUCUAAAUAAAAUUGGAGAAAAAGUUACUCUGCUCUAAAUUGGUGUUAGUUUUGUUACCUAUCAGACUGUCAUUUAACAUGUGUUUGAUUUACCACACUAUCUAGUGGACACUUAUUCUUCGUUGAUUGAAGACAAAAUAUUAAUCGGCAGGUAUUAAUAUUUAUUUUGCUUUAAGACCUUUAUUUUUUAUGUAUUUUACAAUGAGAUCUUUGAAAGCAUCAAAACGGGGAAAACGUAUUUUCUAAAUAGGUCACACUUGAUCUUACCCGUCAUAGGAACUUGAAUAUAUAUAUAUAUAUUUUUUGUUUACAAUAAAUAUGCAUUAGAACCUUUUGGUGAAAAAAUAAUUAUUUUAUAUAGGCCUGUAGACCUUUAAUGUGUAUUUUAAAUGUGUGUCAUACUUUUGUCAUUAGUUUAUAAUUUGAGUGAGUCAUUUUAUUUAAGUGCCUUUAUAAUAAGCCGUCUGAUUAGGUAAACUAAAUUAAUAAUAUAUGAAUGAUAAUUGUAAAAACAUAAAGAUAAGUUUAAAAAAAUUAAGAAUAAAAUAAUAAAUACUUUAUUGCAUUAAUGCAAAUAUUAUGAUAACUUGAAUGUUGUUAAAGUCGCCUUGCAGAAGUUUAAUAUAUCAGAAUAUCCUUUACUAAAUGUACUUCAAAUAUAUGUUUAUUCAUAAUUUGAAUAGUUUGUUUACUUAUAUAAUUCGGCUGUAGCUGUGUACCCAGUUCACUAUUGCUUCUUCCAUUGUAGACUUUCUAAGGUGUAUAAUUUUGAGUACUUGAAGCAUGAAACAAACUAUCAUUAUACGUGUAUCAUGUGUUUAGGGUUGGUUUGACAACUUGCGUCACAUUUCGUGCACUGAAAUUGCAUUAACUUUGUCAUUUCGUCUCAAUAAUAUCUCAAUAAUAUUUGCAGUUCAAUUUAAGUUUUAUGGUUUAACUGACGCUUUUACCUCUAUAGAAACCCUUAUUUCUUUUAAUCAUUGGAGUUGUAUGGGUAGAUUUUGUUGGGUAAAAACCCUUAAUUUGAAAAUGAAUUCACCUGUUAAACAGUACAUCUGCGUGUUUAAAAACAUAUUCUAUGUAAAAAGCUUUUCACUAGAGAUGUUUAUAAUAUUUUGGAUAAUGAAGAGCUCGUGUUUCACUUUUUAAAGUAGAUUUCAAUUCACACAUAUGUGUUUGAGUAGGCCCACCGAUUAAUCAAAACACGUUUGUACUGCACCACUGUAGUUUCUUAUUAUAUGAAAAGUGUGUGAACGUUUUCAUUUCGUCUGUUAUUUACUGGUGGGGUUUAUUUAUUCUUGAGUCCAUAUGAAGAAUUCAGUCAUUAUUUUAAGAUCUUUGUGUCUGAACAUAAGCAGGGGCAGAAGGAUGUUUAACAGUAACCUGGAUCAGCCAGCAGAGACGCUGACCUCUGGGACAGAAAGUCAAAGAGAGGUCUGUGUAAGGAUGAUUGUGAGAGACUCUGCUGGAAUUUGGCAGGCCCGCUGCUUGGAGAGGCGCCCCACGCUGUGACUCCCAUUCAGCGGUCCAGCGCGCUGUGAGGUUGGGAAGUUUCACUGAGCCGUGCACUCAAUGGCUCCACAAAGCUGAUUACAAGCCCCAGCGAAUUCCUGAAGGGACCGGGCAGCCACGCAGGUGUGCGGGAAACCGGGGCAACCCUUCAGAGUUAUAGUGACAGAGCAAGACAAGCCGGGAGACCACACAAAAAGCAAAGCGUCCCAGGAAGCGGCCAGGGAUUUGGUGGGAAAAGAACACCUUAAAUGUCCUCUCCCUUGUGAGCGAAAAGAGAGGAGAAACUUUUCGAAGGCCUUAAUAAAAUGAUGCUCAGCCUUCUCAGGACAGUGAACUAAAAUGGCUGUGCAUCCGAAGCAUAUUUUGUGUUCAUUUUGCCAUAUGCAUUUUGAAUUGUCUGGUGUCUCACGAUUGGGGUUCAGGGUUAAGAACGAUUCAUAAAACGUAAAGGCCUGCUCUCGCUCACUGUGCCCAAUUCAUUCUCCCUGGUGCGAAAAAUCUACAUCAAUGAAGCAGACAGCGUAUUUAAUUAGAGCGGAGUCUAACUAUCAAUUACUCAGGAAAAACACAGGAUCCCCAAGGACCGGUAAUCAGCGCGCCAACAGUCGGCCGCGCGCUCAUUACAGCAAAGCGACAGGCGGGAAUAAUAAUCAGGGCGCGGCGACGCAUCUGCCCACAGUAUUUCCACAGCGUCCUGUUGCCUCUCAGAACUUUAAUAACUUGUCGUUUUUACUCCGUUUCGCCCAGUUGUAGGACGACAUGACAUUUGUUAAUGUUGUUGGUGUAUAAAUUUAGGCCCAAUGUCAUUUACCUUUUGGACUUUAGUCUAAAUAAACCUAUAGUCCAUGAAUGUUCAGUUUAUUUGGAAUAACCCACUUAGGCCUAAUUAACAUUUCGUAACAUUUUUUUUUUUUUUUUUUUUUUUAAAUUCGUAAAAUAUAGGUUCACUUUUGUGUUAACAUUUUUAGUUACCAGUAUGAUGUACCUGAAUGGAAAGAGUAGCCUAAAUGUUGAAAUUAAUUGUUUAUUUUACUGUUAAUUGUUUUAUUAAUUUGUUUGUUUUGGGGAAAUAUGAAAAAAUGAGACUUGCUAGUAUUACUCUAUCGGGAUUUAAGAAGAGAUUUUAUCAUGCUGAAGUUUUAGCACUGCGGUGAGGAGAGGAGAUUGUUUAGUUUUAGGAGAGACGCAUGGAAUUAAGUUAUUUUACAUAAAGAGAAAUUGUUGUACAAAUGUCAGUGUCUUGAGCUUCCUGCCAACAUUUAGCAUGCUAACGUGCGUGGUUGCUAGCUAGUAGUUGGUUUUCUCAUUCCAAUUUAGUUGCGGCUACUCAAGGUAUUCGAGUUGACUUCACAUGGACAUUUUAUGUUAAUAAAACAUUUUCACAAAUCAAGUUUAGCCAAAUAAUUAUUUAUUUAAAUAAUUGUUUAUUUAUUAAAUAUAAAAUAUUUUCGAGUGCAGCAUCUUUCAUUCACUGGACAUCAAAAUACCACAGAAAGUGUUCUGCCAACAUUUCCUCAGUUUGAGUGAGGACUCAGUCUUACUUUAUGCGGCUAAUUUAAUCCUCCACAGAGUCAACAAGGGCUAAUUGAGAUCAGCGGGGCGCAAACACCCAUUCACAAUCAGUUUCUCCCGUGCCCUGGAUUGUCCCGUUAAGUCGUUUUGCGUGGGGUUUAGGACUGGGAAGUAACCAUAUUGUGGCAGUCUAUAGAUCAAGACUAUGUUGGCUUUGAUUCCUGAAUUAUACAAAUAGCAAAGGUCUCUGAGAUUUAAGCAUGUUUCAGUUCCCAUGCUUAGCCUUAUAAAUAUGCUAUAAAUCUAUUCCAGUCUUGGCCUCACCUGUGUCCUGUCACCCCUGCUGUCCUCGUGUGAUUAGAGGACAAAAGCACUUACCCGGCCCGGCUAUGGUAGUCAAUCAACCACAACGGACUAUGCUAAUUGAGGGGAAAGGCGAGAGGAAGACGAACAGUGAUCCCAAUUGUUCGGCGAAUUUCACAGCUCAGCGCAGCUGCAAUGCUACUAUUCUCUCCCAAUACACUCUUCCAUCACUUCUAACACAACCCUACUGUAAGCCGAAGUCUGUGCGAACAGGAAGAGAAUUUGAAAUACUCGCGAUUUUCCCACAGAAGUUGAUAUAUUAGAUCAGAAACAAUAGCAAUGUGGCAUCUAGUCUACAGCUGAAGAGAUAAAUGGACGCGCUCUAAAGUUGUAGAGGAGCUGUCCAGGUCCUGAAAUAAACGCGACUCAAACACAACCUCCGCAUAUGUUCUCUGUUGGGCUAUAUCACGAGCGACACAUUUUCAAAAAAAAAAGAAGAAAAAAAAAAGAAAGAAAACAAGUGAAGUAGUACGUUUUCUAAUUAUCGCUCUGCUUUUAUUUUUCUAUACUUAGAUUACCCUCGCCUCUGUAUACGACUCGUGUGACUUGAUCGGAAGUCAAAGUUAGUGCUUGAGCUUGUACAAAUGCAAUGCUUGUCAUGGCGAGCUUACAUGCCUUAUGAGCUAAAAAUCUGAACUUAAAUGAAGUAAUAAGCGUUACAUUUGGUGUAUAAUAGACAAUUUAGCACAAAGACAUUAUUCAUUUAUGCAGACAAAAAGAUUUUGAGUAUUUUGAAAAAUCUAUUUGCCAUGUCAUUUUACAAGUCUAGUAAUUUGGUUCCGAUCAGCCUUUGUUUUUGUUUGGCUUUCUCCCAUUUUUCAGUCUGAGAUCAAAUAUGCACCUAGAAAACAACUUGUAGCACAUAUACAAAAAGAAUGACAACUUUAACUGUAAAUUACUUUUUCCUCGCAUCUAGUUUGACCCAUCUCACAAGGUGCCCUUCCUCUCAGCAGGUGUCAGAAAAUAGGCCUGAGAAUUGUUUGUGUUAUACCGCUGCUGGAGUCCCACUGUGCUUCUGUAUUUUGUGAUGGGAUAAACUUUGACUGUGUCUGAUUGUGUUGCUUUUACAUCUGAAAGAGGGAGGGAGACAGAAAGAAACAACAAUAAAAGAAGUUGAUGUUUA